UCUAAGUAUAACCUGCCAGACAGGGAAACUGCGUACGGCUCAUUACACCAGCCUUAAUUUACUUGACCUUGACAACCUACUUGGAUAACUGUGGUAAUUCUAGAGCUAAUACAUGCACCAAAGCUCCGAUCCUCGCGGAGAGGAGCGCAUUUGUUCGCCACAAAACCAAGCGCCCAUCUGGGCGUCCAGUGCUGAACCAGAACAACUCAGCUGAUCGCACGGUCUUGUACCGGCGACGUGUCUUUCAAGUGUCUGCCUUAUCAACUUUCGAUGGUAGUGUACCUGACUACCAUGGUUGUGACGGGUAACGGAGGAUAAGGGUUCGACUCCGGAGAAGGGGCCUGAGAAAUGGCCACUACGUCUAAGGAUGGCAGCAGGCGCGCAAAUUACCCACUCUCAACGCGAGGAGGUAGUGACGAGAAAUAACGAGACCGUUCUCAUACGAGGCCGGUUAUUGGAAUGGGU
rnacentral:rRNA from 1 species